GCAUCGCGGUGGCGGAGCGUCGUUUGCGACGCCCAACACACAAAACAAGCGGUGAGUGCUUUGGGGUGGGGUGACUGCGUACCUUUUGUAUAAUGGGUCAGCGACUUAUAUUCUGUAGCAAGGUUAACCGUAUAGGGGAGCCGAAGGGAAACCGAGUCUUAACUGGGCGUUAAGUUGCAGGGUAUAGACCCGAAACCCGGUGAUCUAGCCAUGGGCAGGUUGAAGGUUGGGUAACACUAACUGGAGGACCGAACCGACUAAUGUUGAAAAAUUAGCGGAUGACUUGUGGCUGGGGGUGAAAGGCCAAUCAAACCGGGAGAUAGCUGGUUCUCCCCGAAAGCUAUUUAGGUAGCGCCUCGUGAACUCAUCUUCGGGGGUAGAGCACUGUUUCGGCUAGGGGGUCAUCCCGACUUACCAACCCGAUGCAAACUGCGAAUACCGAAGAAUGUUAUCACGGGAGACACACGGCGGGUGCUAACGUCCGUCGUGAAGAGGGAAACAACCCAGACCGCCAGCUAAGGUCCCAAAGUCACAGUUAAGUGGGAAACGAUGUGGGAAGGCUCAGACAGCCAGGAUGUUGGCUUAGAAGCAGCCAUCAUUUAAAGAAAGCGUAAUAGCUCACUGGUCGAGUCGGCCUGCGCGGAAGAUGUAACGGGGCUAAACUGUGCACCGAAGCUGCGGCAGCGACGCUUAUGCGUUGUUGGGUAGGGGAGCGUUCUGUAAGCCUGCGAAGGUGUCCUGUGAGGGAUGCUGGAGGUAUCAGAAGUGCGAAUGCUGACAUAAGUAACGAUAAUGCGGGUGAAAAGCCCGCUCGCCGGAAGACCAAGGGUUCCUGUCCAACGUUAAUCGGGGCAGGGUGAGUCGACCCCUAAGGCGAGGCCGAAAGGCGUAGUCGAUGGGAAACGGGUUAAUAUUCCCGUACUUGGUGUUACUGCGAAGGGGGGACGGAGAAGGCUAUGUUGGCCGGGCGACGGUUGUCCCGGUUUAAGCGUGUAGGCUGGUUUUCCAGGCAAAUCCGGAAAAUCAAG
rnacentral:rRNA from 1 species